rnacentral:rRNA from 1 species
AGAGUUUGAUCAUGGCUCAGAGCGAACGCUUGCGGCGAGCUUAACACAUGCAAGUCGAACGCGUACCUUCGGGUACGAGUGGCGGACGGGUGCGUAACACGUAGGUAAUCUGCCUUUCGGUGGGGGAUAACCAGGGGAAACUCUGGCUAAUACCGCAUAUGGUCUACGGAUCAAAGCCUUCGGGCGCCGGGAGAUGAGCCUGCGGCCGAUUAUUUAGUCCUAGUUGGCGGGGUAACGGCCCACCAAGGGUACGAUCGGUAGCUGGUCUGAGAGGACGAUCAGCCACACUGGAACUGAGACACGGUCCAGACUCCUACGGGAGGCAGCAGUGGGGAAUAUUGCGCAAUGGGCGAAAGCCUGACGCAGCUACGCCGCGUGGGUGAUGAAGGCCUUCGGGUUGUAAAGCCCUGUCGAGGGGGAAGAAGUAUGACGGUACCCCUCAAGAAAGCGCCGGCUAACCCUGUGCCAGCAGCCGCGGUAAUACAGGGGGCGCGAGCGUUGCUCGGAAUCACUGGGCGUAAAGCGUACGCAGGCGGACCGUUAAGUCGGGUGUGAAAUCCCAGGGCUCAACCCUGGACGUGCAUUCGAUACUGGCGGUCUCGAGUACGGGAGAGGUGAGUGGAAUUCCUGGUGUAGAGGUGAAAUUCGUAGAUAUCAGGAGGAACACCGGUGGCGAAAGCGGCUCACUGGCCCGAUACUG